rnacentral:rRNA from 1 species
UACGAAGGGGGCUAGCAUUGCUCGGAAUUCCUUGGCGUAAAGCGCACGUAGGCGGCCAUGAUAGUCAGAUGUGAAAGGCCUGGGCUUAACCCGGGAACUGCAUUUGAUACUGCAUGGCUAGAGUCCAAGAGAGGGUAGUGGAAUUCCCAGUGUAGAGGUGAAAUUCGUAGAUAUUGGGAAGAACACCAGUGGCGAAGGCGGCUACCUGGCUUGGUACUGACGCUAAGGUGCGAAAGCGUGGGGAGCGAACAGG